AUGAAGUUAAGAACAACUAAGCACUACUAGAAAUCUUACAGAAGAAACCAAAUGAACUUUUUGGCCACACAUAUAUUUUUUGUUGUUGUUCUCUAACUAGGUAAAGCAUUAUUAGAUUACCUCCACCUGGUCUAUUUUUCUUUCACCCAGUAAUGUUUUUCAUCAGCAGCCAUAGUUCUGUGAAGGGACGACAUUAAAAGGUCUCCUGUUGCAGACUAUAAUAGAACAUUAGGAUAGGUUGAAGGUUUCCAUGAUCAGUCUACACUCAAUCUCUCCCUAUUUUCUGCCUUUUUAUUUCCCACUUAAGUUUGUAUACUAUUAACUACAUUGCAAAAUGGCCACUAAGUUCACAUUUCCUGUGCUUAAAACAGGACUUUUGUUUCUUCAGCAGAUAUUCAUUGAGUAUCCACUAGGUGUCAGAUAUACUAGGUAGAUUCUGAGACACCAAGAUAACUACAGACACGCCUUUAGGCUAACAGCCUUGUGGGGGGAAGGUGAGAAAAGCCAAAAAGUUACAGUCUCGUAUAUUCUAAUAGAGUAGGAGAGUUUAAGGUCAUGAACAACCAUCAUUUCCAAAAAUAUCUCCCCAAUAAGUCUGUCUCCAUGACUAAGUUUUCAUGAAUAUAAUGUAAUUUUUUAUAGGACCACUAUUGCCUCUGGGUAGGAAAACUAAGGGGCAUUAAUGGGCUUUGAAGUUGCUUUAUUCCCCCCUUUUUAAAUUUUUUUUGUUUAAAAUGUUUAAUACACUAAGACUCUUUUGAUGUAUGAUUCUAUGAGUUUUAACAAAUGCACAGUUAUAUAAUCACCACCACAACAAAGAUAGAGAACAGUUCCAUUAUACCCUCCCACCCCCCAAAAAAUUUUUCUUGUGCUGUCACUUUUAUAAUUUUUUGUGGUAAAAAAUAUUUUUCAAAAAGUAAUGUUUGAAUGUUACAUGUACAACUUGUUCAAAAAAGUACUUGGGACAGUACCUUUUCUGAUAAGCCUCUUUAGAAAUAUAGAUAUCCAAGGAGGUGCUAAAUUAUUACACCAUUGAUAGUCAUCUACACCUUAGUUUGUAGAUCAAGCUGUUGAAAAUAAGACUCAGAAAAGGUAAAGGGUGCAUGUGGUGUAUGUAGUGUGUGUGUUAGACUAGAAAGAGUAUGGGGUCAGUGGCUAGAGUUGGAGAUUAGGGCCUGACAAUGUGUUCUGAACAAUGUGCAUGCAAUGAUAGAUAUGAGUAGUGUGUUUUGUGUUUUGAGUAGCAUUAAGGGCCCUGUGUUCUUAAAGAUAGGGGGCACCAAAGAAAGAGGAGAUGAGCCCUGAAGAGGUGUGGCCUUCAUGUAACAUUUGAUCUGUCUGUAUUUGAAGCUGCAGAGCUGGGAUUCCAAUACUGACUCUUCCAAUAACUUGUCUUGAAAAGUCACUUCCCCUUUCUGGGCCUCAAUUUCAUCAUGUAUAAAAACUAAGGUUGGAUUAAGUAUAUUCCGAAGUCCAGUUCAGUGUUCUCUAGCUACAACUAACACCCUUUGUGUGUAUGCAUGACUGUGUCCUCGGUUUCUGUUCUCCAAUUUUAACUGGAGAGACACAUAUGUGUAUAACAAUAACCAAACUCAGCAAGCAUUAUGAUCUCAAAAUUUCAUGUAAGUUGAUGUCAGAAGUGGCAAAGUUAAGGCUGAUCUGAACUGGGCUCCAGUGGAAUAGCUCUGUAAUACUGAGCCUUCUCAUGUACAGAAUGACUGAAUAUACUCCACUGUUCCUUGUAGUUCUCGCAGGUUAUGACUAUGAAACCUGUUAAAUCUUACCAGUAUUACUUCUCACUUCCCCCAGGUUUGCACCUGUUGUUCUAAUUUUGAAUUUUUUGGUUUAUUUGUAUUAGCCACUAUUCAUUUAGUACCAUCUAUGUGCCAGAACUUUUACUCUAAGGCAUUUGACCUACAUUAUUUAAGGACGUUUAUACUGCUGCCAUCCUUAAUAGACAUACAGAUAUGGGGAAAUCACAUCACGGCUUCCUACUCCCAUCCUAGAUAACAUAUUCCUACAGCAAGAUCUCCUUUCAAUGAAUAUUAAAACUAGCACUAAAGAAGGGAAGAAGGGGAAAGAUGUAUAUGGCUUUAAAUUGAUAAAGUGAAGAGAAAUGAACUAAUGGUUGAGGGCUAACUAUGUGCUAGGCACUUUAUAUGUGUCUAUCUUUUUCAGGUGGUUGAGGUAAACAGGUGGAGGCAUCACAAAAGAGCCUGCUUUUUCCCCUCACCCAAGGACAUUUUUUUUUUUCAUUGCUUUAGAGAGACAGGAAGGGAGAGAGAGAAACAUUGAUUGGUUGCCUCCUGUACAUGCCUGGACUGAGGAUGGAACCCAAACCUAAGUAUGUGCCCUGACCAGGAUUCAAACCUGCAACCUUUUGGUUACAGGACAAUGCUCCAACCGAGACACACCAGCCAGAGUGAGCCUGCUUGUUUUGAUGACAAAAAUGAGAAAAACUAUUUCAUACCAUAAAUCAUUGGAAUUAUUCAGAAUAGUUGUUUUUCAUGUUAUUCUCCACUAUGAGGGCACAGACAGCAUAGUGCCUGUGUGCAGAGUUUGGUGGAUGUUUGUUGAAUAGAUUGGGAUUUUUCUCAUACUUUAGAGUAGUAGUUUUUAGGGUCCAUGAACCUCUUAAGAAUUUUAGAAAAACUAUGGACCCUUCUUGGAUGUCACCUCCUCCAUACACACAAAAAGAAACAACUCUGUCUCAUCCUAACCACCUUCACAUCUGCAUUUGGAAUGUUUUUAGUCUCUUUUACACUCCCUUCUUGAGCCCCAGGUUAAGAACUCUGUGUAGGAAAUAUUUCUGGGUAUCCAGGCAGCCUAGAAGCAUAGCUUCAUUAACUUACCAUGCUACCAUCCUUUCUUGGUCCUUAUAGAUGAGGGAAAAUUACACCAUACCUCCUGAGCAUUAACUAAUGGUCAUGUUAAUUUUUCUUUUUAUGAGCAAAGAUUGUAUUCAACUUGCUCUUAGGUUGAUUAAUAUGUGCUACAGCCAAAGGACCAGCAUUACCUUAUGUGAGUAACAUGUCUCUGGCUUUCUAUUUUUACCCCUCCCCAUUGAAAUAAAUACCCACUUAAAACACGGUUAGGGUAGUGCCCUUAUCAGUAAAAUUUUAUCUGGAUAGAGAAGGGUGAUGAAAAAAUCUGCCUUGUCUCAUAGCAGAGGAGAAUGACAUGUAAAAGAAAUACCAGGAUUAGGGCCAACAACCUCCUGUGCAGUGGAAAAUUCAGGUAUAUCCACAGAUAGCCAUUCACACACAGUGAUUCUCUGUAUG